UACGAAGGGGGCUAGCGUUGCUCGGAAUUACUGGGCGUAAAGGGUGUGUAGGCGGAUACUUAAGUCGGGGGUGAAAGCCCAGGGCUCAACCCUGGAAUAGCCUUCGAUACUGGGUAUCUUGAGUUCGGGAGAGGUAAGUGGAACUCCGAGUGUAGAGGUGAAAUUCGUAGAUAUUCGGAAGAACACCAGUGGCGAAGGCGACUUACUGGCCCGAUACUGACGCUGAGGUGCGAAAGCGUGGGGAGCAAACAGGG
rnacentral:rRNA from 1 species